UCAGCCGGUUCUCAGUCCACCUCACCGUUCACUCAUUUAUCCCACAUUUUCUAAGUUUCAGAACAAGGAUGCCGUGGGAGACGGUGUCAAACACCUUGCUGAAGUCAAAGUACACAACAUAUACUGCUCUCCCCCCCAUCUACCCAGUCAGUGAUGACAUCACAGAAGGCUAUUAGGUUGGUCAAGUAUGAUUUCCGCUUGGUGAUUCCGUGCUGACUACUCCUGAUAACCUUCUUCUCUUCCGAUUGCUUGGAGAUGGCAUCCAGAAGAACUUGUUCCAACACCUUUUAGCUCGGUGGUGACCCUCACCCAGAGCAUCUGCCAGACUGCAAUCUAUACUCUGCCCCGACAACCAAGCACUUCAGGACCUCUGAAUUGUGCUGUCUGUUGUUUGUGAUCAGAAGGAAAUUGUUCCCCACUGACAUGAUGGUAGAGACUCAGCAUUUCAGAUGUGACUGACCACUUGAGAGCAAGAAUGCAGCUCCCAGAGGCUCGACACAAGGGCUUGAAGAGCUCGGCUGUAUUUUCUUCCACUUAAAACUGGAAGAGGUGAAUAGCUGGUGAAAGUGGGGAGGAGAUUGAUGGCUUUGGAAACUGCAAGGCCCUCUCCCUGCAUGGGACAGCUUUGGUAGAGCCAGCCAGCUUCAAGUCUGACCUUGCCCCCUCUGACCUGACAGCAACCUCAGUCCUGACCUUGGAAAGACCACCCUUCUCCUGGCAGAAGCACAGAUUAAGGAAUGAGGAAAAAAAUCAAGUAGGGCUCAGGUCAAGAUAAUUUUAUUCCACAGGAGAGGACAGUCCGUGAGGCAUGUAGAAACUGGGUGUCCUUCUCAUGCUUCGGCACUUACUCUUUGCCUCCAGACAUGGUCUGAGACUGACUGACUCAUCACAUUUGUGCUCAGAGCACCUUCUUGCCUCCUCUGCUGAGAACCCCUCUUCCCUGCACUGUGGAUGUCUUGAGAGCAGUCAGACGACAUCCCUGAUGGAAUGCUGAGCCCUUAACUCUCCAGAAGUCAUAAAAAAUCCUGAACAGGCUCUUUCCAGAUCGAAAUCUUUCAUCAGCGUGAGCCCCAAAUCCAUCUUGUAGCUCUCUCCUUCCCUCUGCAAGGAAACCUGCCCCUUCCCCAGGAUUUGCCUCCCCUCUGCUUUCCUUUUCCCACAGCCAGCCAUCCCUCACCCUCCUGUUUCUGUAAAACACUCAGCACACACAGCAGCUGGGGGGGGGAGGGACCGAGGGGCUGGUGGAAGCCACUCAGAUUUCACAUUUAUUUAAUAGCCGUGGCUGUGCUUGUUUGAUUUAUCUUCACACAUACAUUUGACAGAUAUGGUCUCAUAAAAACUCCACAGAGUAAAAACACCAAAAAGGCCUGCAGCCAUACUGUGUUAGCAUGCAGUCUGGCUCCAGCUCUGGAGCAAAGCAGAGAUCAAACUCGCUGCAGCUGGCAGCACUGCAGAAACAGAAAACUUUGGAGCCUGUAGCACCCAAAAUGCAGCA